GACGAACGCUGGCGGCGUGCUUAACACAUGCAAGUCGAACGAAGUGGCGAACGGGUGAGUAACGCGUAAUCAACCUGCCCUUCAGAGGGGGACAACAGUUGGAAACGACUGCUAAUACCGCAUACUGAAGGAGGGGAUUGCGUCUGUUUAGCUAGUUGGAGGGGUAACGGCCCACCAAGGCGAUGAUCAGUAGCAGGUCUGAAAGGAUGAAAGGCCAAGUUGGGACUGGGAGACGGCCGAGACUCCUACGGGAGGCAGCAGUGGGGAAUCGUCCGCAAUGGACGAAAGUCUGACGGAGCAACGCCGCGUGAGUGAUGACGGCAUUCGGGUUGUAAAGCUCUGUUAAUCAGGACGCGGUACCGGAAUAGAAAGCCACGGCUAACUACGUGCCAGCAGCCGCGGUAAUUC
rnacentral:rRNA from 1 species